rnacentral:rRNA from 1 species
CCUACGGGAGGCAGCAGUGAGGAAUAUUGGUCAAUGGACGAGAGUCUGAACCAGCCAAGUAGCGUGAAGGAUGACUGCCCUAUGGGUUGUAAACUUCUUUUAUAUGGGAAUAAAAUGUUCCACGUGUGGGAUUUUGUCUGUACCAUAUGAAUAAGGAUCGGCUAACUCCGUGCCAGCAGCCGCGGUAAUACGGAGGAUCCGAGCGUUAUCCGGAUUUAUUGGGUUUAAAGGGAGCGUAGGUGGAUUGUUAAGUCAGUUGUGAAAGUUUGCGGCGCAACCGUAAAAGUGCAGUUGAAACUGGCAGUCUUGAGUACAGUAGAGGUGGGCGGAAUUCGGGGUGUAGCGGUGAAAUGCUUAGAUAUCACGAAGAACUCCGAUUGCGAAGGCAGUUCACUGGACUGCAACUGACACUGAGGCUCGAAAGUGUGGGUAUCAAACAGGAUUAGAUACCCCAGUAGUC